GGCUCAGUCAGUAAAGCAUGAGACUCUUAAUCUCAGGGUUGUGGGUUCGAGUGCCAUGUUGGACG